GAAAUAUAGAUCUGGGUCUCGACCUAUUUUCGUUUCCCCAUACGAAGUGCCGAGGAGUGCCCAGAUGUGAAGCCGGCGGCAACGACUGUCGUUUUUUUUUUUUAUAUCCAUCAGUGUAACCGCUGAUUCCUAUUUUUAUGCUAUAGUGUCAUUAGUGUAAUUAGCUUAGUAAAUUUCUUUUGGUUGUGUUUUUAAAUUCUGUUCGGAAGAAAUAGCAAGUGGAAUGUGUGACAGGGCGAAAGUGAACAACGGUUAAACGGCAGAGGAGAGCGUGAGUUUUUUUUUUGUAAAAGUAUUUCUCCAGCUUUCGUUUUAGGAACGUUGCCGCAGUCCAUGGAGGCGCUUUCAUCGCUGUUUCAACGCAUUUAUUAAAACAAAUCAAAGGAAGGCCUCAGGGGCUUCGUCGCUUAAGAGAGGCUGUGCGCUCUCCCUUAUGCCCUGCUGGCAACCAUAAGCGCUUACGCCGCGCAUAAGAACCAGCCCUCUUAAGAACAAGGCACAAAAGGGAAGAUGCGAGGCUGGUCGCUCUGACGUUCUUUUAUGCUUUCUACUUGCGGUUGCUUUCGCUAAUGCACUUGAAUAACUGACCUGCCAUAACGAUCGCGGCGCACAGUUUUUACAUUCCCUUUUGCAUA